GACGAACGCUGGCGGCGUGCUUAACACAUGCAAGUUGAACGAAGUGGCGAACGGGUGAGUAACGCGUAAUCAACCUGCCCUUCAGAGGGGGACAACAGUUGGAAACGACUGCUAAUACCCCAUACUGAAGGAGGGGAUUGCGCCUGAUUAGCUAGUUGGAGGGGUAACGGCCCACCAAGGCGAUGAUCAGUAGCCGGUUUGAGAGGAUGAGCGGCCGGCAUGGGACGAGGACACGACCCAGAAUCCUACGGGAGGAAGCAGUAGGGAAACUUCCGCAAUGGACGAAAGACUGACGGGGCAACGCCGGCUGAGUGAUUAGGGGCGUCGAGUGGUAAAGCUCUGUUAGUCGGGACACGGUACCGGAAUAGAAAGCCACGGCUAACUACGUGCCAGCAGCCGCGGUAAUUC
rnacentral:rRNA from 1 species